AGGGCUUUUGGGCAGUUCUUGACUUUUAGCAGACGGUGGAUUCACCAUAGAUGUGGUCAAGAACAGCAAUGACUCCACAGACAAAGGCUUGGUCGAUUCCAGCCCUCACGAUCACACGAAAGGACAAUCUCAAUUCAACAUCUGACGAAUUCGAGGGGAGAUGUGCAUAUGAACCACAUGAUGCUUUUUUACCUUGCGGCGGAUGAGGAGGAGGGUGUCUCCGUCUCCAUCCCUAACAACAAGCUCGCUGCUCGUACCAAGCACUCCACAUCCAUCGACCCGGAAAAUCACUCGUGUGCUGCUGCAAUCUGUCACCACGAACCCUCCACCGCCGACAGCGUGCGGCCUCCUCCGAACGACAAGGGCAGCCUCCACCGGUGAGCAAUACACCUUGCUCACGAUUGCCAUCGUUCAAUGAUCUUGUGCCCUCUUAUCCGGUCGUUCUUGUGGAUAUUGUUUCUUGCUUAAUGAACCAGAUUAUAUAGAGGACGUAAGGGCGGUGAAGAUGGAGAAGAGAAGAAGCGAGAAUCAACGGAAUGUCUCAUUUAUUGAUUUUUCAAGCCCAAGAUUAUGCAGCGUUUCAAAAGGAGGUUUGGCGAGCUUUGAAUAUUUUGGCAAAGCUAGUACUGGAGUCUAGAGAAUCUCUUUGGAGUGUUGGCAUUCAACUUCGCUUUUCUUGCUGCAAAUGAAGACUGCUGCUUCACGCACCCGUUCAACUUCGACGAAAUUCAAUAAGGAUCAAAACAUAAGAUGUGUGUGUAUAUAUAAAUAUAGAUUGUGAGUGCAUCUUUAAAUAAAUGGAUCGUGAUCAAAUUCAAGUU